rnacentral:rRNA from 1 species
AAACGACUCUCGGCAAUGGAUAUCUCGGCUCUUGCAUCGAUGAAGAACGUAGUGAAAUGCGAUACUUGGUGUGAAUUGCAGAAUCUCGUGAACCAUUGAGUCUUUGAACGCAAGUUGUGCCCGAGGCCUUGUGGCCGAGGGCACGCCUGCUUGGGUGUCA